UGGGGAUUGGUGUAAUGGUAGCACGGCUGACUCUGGAUCAGCUAGUCGGGGUUCGAGUCCCUGAUCCCCAGCCA
rnacentral:tRNA from 2 species